CCUUCAUGGCUAGGUUAAGCCUCCUUUGGGGGUCUCUAGUAGGCUUGGUUUCUUUCCCUAGGUGAAUCCUAUGUUGGACAAUUGAAGAGCUAAUUCUUUUAAUGUCGGCCAUGGUCCACCCUAUAGCUUCUCAAUUUUCUCUAAGGACAGCAAACAAUUCUUUUGUUGGGUUGGAUCUAGGUUUGAUGCAAUUAUCACC
rnacentral:lncRNA from 1 species